rnacentral:rRNA from 1 species
AUACGGAGGGUGCGAGCGUUGUUCGGAAUUAUUGGGCGUAAAGCGCGUGUAGGCGGUCUUUUAAGUCUGAUGUGAAAGCCCCGGGCUCAACCCGGGAAGUGCAUUGGAAACUGGGAGACUUGAGUACGGGAGAGGGUAGUGGAAUUCCCAGUGUAGGAGUGAAAUCCGUAGAUAUUGGGAGGAACACCGGUGGCGAAGGCGGCUGCCUGGACUGAUACUGACGCUGAGACGCGAAAGCGUGGGGAGC